rnacentral:rRNA from 1 species
UACGGAGGGUGCAAGCGUUAUCCGGAUUCACUGGGUUUAAAGGGAGCGUAGGAGGGCAGGUAAGUCAGUGGUGAAAUCUUCGAGCUUAACUCGGAAACUGCCGUUGAUACUAUCUGUCUUGAAUACCGUGGAGAUGAGCGGAAUAUGUCAUGUAGCGGUGAAAUGCUUAGAUAUGACAUAGAACACCAAUUGCGAAGGCAGCUGGCUACACAAAUAUUGACACUGAGGCACGAAAGCGUGGGGAUCAAACAGG